CCUACGGGAGGCAGCAGUGAGGAAUAUUGGUCAAUGGGCGCGAGCCUGAACCAGCCAAGUAGCGUGAAGGAUGACUGCCCUACGGGUUGUAAACUUCUUUUAUAAAGGAAUAAAGUGAGGCACGUGUGCCUUUUUGUAUGUACGUUAUGAAUAAGGAUCGGCUAACGCCGUGCCAGCAGCCGCGGUAAUACGGAGGAUCCGAGCGUUAUCCGGAUUUAUUGGGUUUAAAGGGAGCGUAGAUGGGUUGUUAAGUCAGUUGUGAAAGUUUGCGGCUCACCCGUAAAAUGGCAAUUGAUACUGGCAGUCUUGCUUCCAGUUGAGGUAGGCGGACUUCGUGUUGUAGCUGU
rnacentral:rRNA from 1 species